CUCUCACGGGGAGCUCUUGGCCCCGCAGACGCAAGAGCCUGUGGAUGUAGGCUUCGGCUGAGCCCAGCUCAUGGAUCGGCCCAGUCUGAGUCCUGUUCUGAUCAACGGGGACCAGAGGAGGCUCCUGGGGAGGCAAACAAAUAGUAAAACGCAGGCACACGGCUCAUCUGUGGAAGAACAUGUCCAUUACUUUUUUAGAGGGGAACUACCUCAGGGGAAAUCACCAGCAGAAGUUGCCAGCAGGAAUGAAUGACUUCCUGUUCACCAGAACAAGUGCUUUCGCAAAGGGCCACGGCACCCGAGACAACACCAGGUGGAAUCAUGCUUGCCUGCCUCUUACAUCUAAAAGGGUACUCAGGCAAAUAGUGAACAAAGGAAAUGUUUUAUGCAUGGAUUACCCCCUGAUGGCCUCCUGCAAACGUCACACCACAUCAAUCCGUAGUGAAGGGCCCUGCUCACUGGCUCAUGGAUGAGACUGACAGUGAUCCUGGAGA